rnacentral:rRNA from 1 species
GAUGAACGCUGGCGGCGUGCCUAAUACAUGCAAGUCGAGCGAACGGACGAGAAGCUUGCUUCUCUGAUGUUAGCGGCGGACGGGUGAGUAACACGUGGAUAACCUACCUAUAAGACUGGGAUAACUUCGGGAAACCGGAGCUAAUACCGGAUAAUAUUUUGAACCGCAUGGUUCAAAAGUGAAAGACGGUCUUGCUGUCACUUAUAGAUGGAUCCGCGCUGCAUUAGCUAGUUGGUAAGGUAACGGCUUACCAAGGCAACGAUGCAUAGCCGACCUGAGAGGGUGAUAGGCCACACUGGAACUGAGACACGGUCCAGACUCCUACGGGAGGCAGCAGUAGGGAAUCUUCCGCAAUGGGCGAAAGCCUGACGGAGCAACGCCGCGUGAGUGAUGAAGGUCUUCGGAUCGUAAAACUCUGUUAUUAGGGAAGAACAUAUGUGUAAGUAACUGUGCACAUCUUGACGGUACCUAAUCAGAAAGCCACGGCUAACUACGUGC